rnacentral:lncRNA from 1 species
AGAUGAUGACUUUGUAUAUUAACGGGACAUUGGCUAGAAUAGUAAACAACGACAUCUUUACUAUUUGCAUUGUGGACAUCGUGAGGGUUGCAUACCUAUGCUUAUUCAUGUUAUACACAUCCAUGUACAUUCAUGUUAUAGUUGCUUUAUUACUUAUGCAAAUCAUGCUAAGUAGAGACAUUAUGCUAUAGCGAGUUACAUUUUACUUCCCUUUUUGCCUUAUUACAUUUUGUCACUG